UCAGAUUGAACGCUGGCGGCGUGCUUAACACAUGCAAGUCGAACGCGAAGGGACUUCGGUCCUGAGUAAAGUGGCGCGACGGGUGAGUAACGACGUGGAUAAUCUGCCCUUAUGAUCGGGAUAACAGUUGGAAACGGCUGCUAAUACCGGAUACGCUCAAAAUGAACUUUUUGAGGAAAGAUGGCCUCUGCUUGCAUGCUAUCACGUAAGGAUGAGUCCGCGUCCCAUUAGCUUGUUGGCGGGGUAACGGCCCACCAAGGCAACGAUGGGUAGCCGAUUUGAGAGGAUGAUCGGCCACACUGGAACUGAAACACGGUCCAGACUCCUACGGGAGGCAGCAGUGGGGAAUAUUGCGCAAUGGGCGAAAGCCUGACGCAGCGACGCCGCGUGAGGGAAUGAAGGUUUUCGGAUCGUAAACCUCUGUCAGAAGGGAAGAAACUACGUUGUGCUAAUCAGCAGCGUACUGACGGUACCUUCAAAGGAAGCACCGGCUAACUCCGUGCCAGCCGCCGC
rnacentral:rRNA from 1 species